GACCUGCACCGUUGUUGCACGGGUUUAUUACAAACGAGAGCUUACUCGGAACGAUCUUUCACGAUUUUCCCUCUUCGCGAUCUCUUGCCUAAUUCUUUUUUUUUCCCCCCCUUUCCUUUUCGUUCUCCCCAACAUUUUGCACAAUUAAUCUUAUAACGUUUAGAUUUGUACAUUAGGAAAAAAAAGGUUUCCGAGAAUGAGUAUAACAUGUAUUAAUUGUAAAAUAAAAUGCACGUAGAUCCGUACUUUCUAGGCUGGUUACACCGCGAUUGUGUUCAACCCAAGUCUGGUGUGCGUAUAAUGGAGAAUUAUACGCCAGCGGUUUGCAGUCACGACGAGCCUGCGAUCGGGUACGCAACAUUUUAUACUCGUUGGCAACGCGGCUCGCUGGAGGACGCUAAAAGGUUCGGACACCCUCGCUAUCACCGGGUACCGGUAGGUACGUUAAUGAUUCGCGUCGCUGCAGAACCAACUGGAGUGGAUGUAAUCGGGAGUAGUCGGUGUCCGAUGGGCUGACCUGACGAAAAGAGACGGGGGCAACCUUCGGGAUCAAGAAUUCCCUGCCCAGUCGAAUCGAGGCUGCGAGGCGUGACGUAUUUCCUACAUCUUAAAUCCGACACACCCCGAGAGACACGCGUGACGAGGAGAGGCUAUCUAUUUGUGCGUGUCGAAGAGGCUAAUUUUAGUAGGUAUGAGAAGCUAGUUAUGUACGGACUGUUGACCACCGAUGCGAGAGGAAGCAAGAAGUCAUCGCGGCCUGACCUCGUACGGAUAUCAACUUUCGGCUUGCUUGGAUACAACGACGAAAACAAACCGAGUGCGAAGGUUGGACU